AAGAGAUCAAAAGAAGAUUGCUAUAGGAAUUUCUAUUAUUGAUGCUGGAUAAGUAUCUAUCUCUCUAAACAGUCUAUCUAUCUAUCAUCUAUUUAUCAUCUUCAAUCUACUGAGAAAACUCCCACAUAAAAUGAAAACUGGAACCAAUGCAACAAAUGGAAUAGAAAAUUACAACUGACCAGCAAUGAAAUAAUUAUGGAAAGGAGAAUAAGUGCCCAACUGCAGAUAUUUACCCACAGUCAAGCAGAUGCAUGUGAAUUCAG